GCCGGUGAUUAUUGCGUAGGAGUUACACCCGAUCCCAUUCCGAACUCGGAAGUUAAGCCCUGCAGCGCCAAUGGUACUUUGUCUUAAGGCACGGAAGAGUAGGACGUUGCCGGCA
rnacentral:rRNA from 1 species